AGAAAGUAUCGACUACAGAUAUCACAAAAAUCACAAAGAAAGAGCUAGAAUCAAAAGAAAACAAUAUAAGAUUUUACGGAAAAAGGUCUUCUUACCCCUGAGAAAACAAAAUAUCCGGGACAAAAGGACAAGGUUGGUGGAAAUGGAUCCUUCAAGGGACAAGACAAAACUCUUUUUUUGUGACUAAAUUUUUUAAUCUUUGUAAUAACUUAUAUGUAACUUAAGGCAAAAUGUAAAUUUAAAUGUAAUAUAAU